rnacentral:rRNA from 1 species
GACGAACGCUGGCGGCGUGCCUAAUACAUGCAAGUCGAACGCAGUGGGGACGGGUGAGUAAAACGUGGGUAACCUCCCAUCAGAGGGGAUAACACUUGGAAACAGGUGCUAAACCGAUAGUUAUGUAUGGCCACGUGGUGCAUUAGCUAGUUGGUGAGGUAACGGCUCACCAAGGCCACGAUGCAUAGCCGCCCUAGGAGGGGGAUCGGCCAAGCUGGAACUGAGCCACGGCCCAGACUCCUACGGGAGGCAGCAGUAGGGAAUCUUCGGCAAUGGACGAAAGUCGGACCGAGCAACGCCGCGUGAGUGAAGAAGGUUUUCGGAUCGUAAAACUCUGUUGUUAGAGAAGCGGUAUCUAAAGAGAAAGCCACGGCUAACUACGUGCCAGCAGCCGCGGUAAUUG